rnacentral:rRNA from 1 species
GCAAGUCGAGGGGUAACAGAGGUAGCUUGCUACUUGCUGACGACCGGCGCACGGGUGCGUAACGCGUAUAGAAUCUACCUUACACUGAGGGAUAGCCUUUGGAAACGAAGAUUAAUACCUCAUGGUAUCAUUAACUGGCAUCGGUUUAUGAUUAAAGGUUACGGUGUAAGAUGACUAUGCGUCCUAUUAGCUAGAUGGUAAGGUAACGGCUUACCAAGACUACGAUAGGUAGGGGCCCUGAGAGGGGGAUC